rnacentral:misc_RNA from 1 species
GACUAUAUCUAGGCAAGAGAUCAUAACAACAUGUUCCUAUUUGAUCAGAAAAUUUUCAAAUUAAUAGUACUUACAAAAUUUUCAAGAACUCUAUCAUGAUUGCAAACCCAAAAAAGCCAUUUGCCAAAUAUAGUGGAUGAAGGAACAAUGGCAACUCGAAUAGAGGAGCACAUUUAGUAGCGUGGAAAGACAACCAUAGUUAAGAAAUAGUGACUAGAACAAAAUAGUGAAAAAUCACA